rnacentral:lncRNA from 1 species
CUUGAGGGGCCGACCAGCUCUCUUCCCAUGAUUCUCGGCCCAAAACAUGACUCCACCACCGCCUUGCUGACGUUGCAGCCUUGUUGGAACAGGGUGGCCGUCCCCCAAACAUCCACUACUCCAUCCAUCUGGACCAUCCAGGGUUGCACGGCACUCAUCAGUGAACAGGACUGUUUGAAAAUUAGUCUUCGUGUAUUUUUCUGCCCAAUGCAGUCGUUUCUGCUUGUGAGCAUUGGUUAGUGGUGGCCGAAUAGAAGAAUU